GAAUAUGAAAUUUCUCACACUUAUAGAGAAUAUAGAGAAGAAGUGCAGAAUGUUAAUAUUUCUUUUAAUCAUGCCUAAAAAAUUCAUUAAAUAAAUAAAGAAAACAUCACACACACUACCAUGUAUUUGAGUCAACACAUAUACACACACAUAUACUCAGUGUUUAUUGUCAAACUUUUGUCAUUGUUGAAAAUCUGUGCUCAAAUUGAGAAUAGGUUAAUAUUGUUUGUCUUUAACAUCAUUUGUCUAUAGUGUGUAGUCUUGGCGAAAUCUGUGAGUAUGGUUUAAAAUUAUAAUAGUCUUUGACAAUAUAACCAUAAUAAUGCUCAAACUUAUAAUUUCAAUUAAUUAUAGUCGAAGUUCCACUACAGAGGGACCACUAGUUUCAAUUCGUGUUUUCGUUUCGUGUAGUAUUUUAUUGGUAUUUUCUGGAAAUCUAAUACAUCGUAUGCUUUAGAAGACUUAAAAAGUAGCUUUUACCUAAUUUUGAAUCUGUAAUAUUUCGCACCACACACCCACAUUACGUUGCUGGGCCGUGCAAACGACGUAAGUGAUUCGUCAAUUGAAAAAACAGUGUGUUGUUUACAGAGAAAGCGGAUGUUUGUAAAUGCAGUCAACGGAGGCAUUUCUCUGUGCCGCGUGCCGGCUACGAGUUAGAUAGCAACUUGACCGCAAUGAUGGUGACACGGAUACAAAUCGAGGGCUGAGGUUUCCUUUGCAAGCCAUGACAUACGCUCUACUCCCAACACUUCAGUCCACGAUGCCAUCCGCACAGCUGAGGAUACGCAAGGCUGGCGCAGGAUAAUCCAGCAGAAAGUUAUUAAAGGUCACGACCUACAGCAUUGAGGAUUAUCAACGCCAGGAGGAGGAGACUCAAAAUUGAAUCAAAGAUAAAAAUUCACCAUUUAUAAGCGUACUCGUCAAAACUCGCCUGAUCAAGUAAGGCGAGUAAUUCAUUAACUUUAAACUCGUUCAUAUUUAGUUCGUUUUUGUCGUGGCCAUAUCUGAUGCGGUGAACUUGUUUUCGUAAAAGGAACACACGCGAAUCAUCACUAUGAAGGUCGAACUAUUUUAAAUUAAUCUCGUUUUGAGUAUCAGCCAUUGUAAAUUCGACAUAGAUUAAUUAUUUUAACUGGCUCUGAAUUGUGAUUUCGUCAUUAUUUAUUAUCAAAGAAUCGUUUCAAGUCAGUGACAUCGGAUUGUGUACUUUUUUUUUUCUUCGUCGUGUACAAUUGAUUCUCUUGUUUGUGUUUGAAAAUUUUAAUGGAUACUUUUGUAUGUUUGAACAAAGGUUAAGAAAAACUAGAUACAAAACAUAUCCUGUUGUCAAUAGGUUUGAAAACAAUGUUGUUUUUUAGUAAAAAAAAAUUCUAAGAAAACUAAAUGACUAGUGCUUGAACACUGCCUUACUUGUAAUACCCCAUAUUAUUUGGUAAAAAGUCAUCAAAAAUAUUAUACAAAACCAAUAAGAUAUGCGUAUCAGCUCCGACGCGCGACUGGAGAUUAUUACAAAUUUAAGUGAGAUUAUCAUUGAUCAUACAAUAGGUAAAGGAGAUAAACAACCUCAUUUUUUAUAAUAUUGAAUGAAUAUGGUUUCGGUAUUGUUUAUAUAAACCCUUUUAUUCCUAUUUAUUUAUAUUGAUUAUUUAGCACAUCCAUUAAUCGUUACAUAAUAGGUACAUACAUAUACUGCAAGCUAUUGUCAAGUACCAAAAGUUAUUAAAACUUGAAAGAGAAAAUUAUUGAAUAAUUGAAUAAUUGAAUUAAUUUAACAUGUUAAAUUCAAAUAAACAGCAACAUAGUUGAGAUAGAUAUA